GUGCCGAGUAGUGGUAAUUGGUAACCUUUAUUCUAUGGUGACAACUGCAGGUAAUUGUAAAUACCUUCUAAAUACUUUUGUUGUUAUUUGUAAAUAUAAAGUAUUAAGAUAAUUGUAUAAUUUAAUGAAUGAAUUAAAUAAUGUUGUUUUUGUUUUAUUUGUCCUAUUUAUCCCAAAAUAGUAUUUAAGUUUUUAACACACUAGUUGUCCCACCUGGUGUUACCGGUGUCAGUAUAAAGUUUAACAUCAUGCUAAAUUAUUUUUUUUUUUUUCACCAUAGGUAUAAAACAAUUAAGAUAACUGAUAAUGAAGAUCACGAUUUCAGGGAGCGAUAAUACUUUAGCGGGAUACACCAAGACACGAGGUUUAAUGAUAAAGUAAUAAAGAAACGUUUAUUUACGACAUAACAACAUUAAACAAGUGCUCGCCAGCUGACUGCUUGUAGCGCGAGAACAGGCGAGCACGCAUUUAUUAGAACAAGAUAAGUGGUAAAAAUCAAUUAUACAUGAUGGGUCGGAGUCGGAAAACAAUGUUUUGCGAGCGGCGCCGGUGCGAAGAGAGCGAGCGGAGCGGUCGAGACGUCGAGUCGAACGGAGCUGUGGCCGAUGA